rnacentral:rRNA from 1 species
UACGUAGGGGGCUAGCGUUGUCCGGAAUCAUUGGGCGUAAAGCGCGCGUAGGCGGCCCGGUAAGUCCGUUGUAAAAGUCAAAGGCUCAACCUUUGAAUGUCAGUGGAUACUGCCGGGCUAGAGUCCGGAAGAGGCGAGUGGAAUUCCUGGUGUAGCGGUGGAAUGCGCAGAUAUCAGGAGGAACACCAACGGCGAAGGCAGCUCGCUAGGACGGUACUGACGCUAAGGCGCGAAAGCCAGGGGAGCAAACGGG